AGAGUUUGAUCCUGGCUCAGCCUGAACGCUGGCGGCGUGGCUAAGACAUGCAAGUCGCACGGGGUAGCAAUACCCAGUGGCGAACGGGUGAGUAAUGAAUCGCUAACGUACCCCGGACUCCGGGAUAGCCAUCCGAAAGGGUGGGUAAUACCGGAUGACAUCACCGCACGGCAUCGUGUGGUGCUCAAAGGUCCGCCGGUCUGGGAGCGGGCGAUUUCGUAUCAGCUAGUUGGUGGGGUAACGGCCCACCAAGGCGACGACGCGUAGCCGGACUGAGAGGUUGGCCGGCCACAUUGGGACUGAGACACUGCCCAGACUCCUACGGGGGGCUGCAGUAACGAAUCUUCCGCAAUGCACGAAAGUGUGACGGAGCGACGCCGCGUGUGGGACGAAGCCCUUCGGGGUGUAAACCACUGUCAGGGGUUACCAAGUCCUGAGGAGCCCCAGAGGAAGGCACGGCUAACUCUGUGCCAGCAGCCGCGGUAAGACAGAGGUGCCGAGCGUUAGGCGGAAUCACUGGGCUUAAAGCGUGUGUAGGCGGACCGUUAAGUACCUUGUGAAAUCCCACGGCUCAACCGUGGAACUGCUCGGUAUACUGGCGGUCUUGAGCUGCUUAGGGGUCGUCGGAACAAACGGUGGAGCGGUGAAAUGCGUAGAUAUCGUUUGGAACGCCAACGGUGAAAACAGACGACUGGGAGCACGCUGACGCUGAGACACGAAAGCCAGGGGAGCGAACGGGAUUAGAUACCCCCGUAGUCC
rnacentral:rRNA from 1 species